ensembl:lncRNA
GUCAGAGACAACUCAUCAACACCUCCUGACCAAUCAGAAUCCAGAGCUGGCUUCGCUCUCGACGUCCGUCCCCCCCCCCUUCCUGUGUGUGUGAGACUGCUUGAAGUGUGUGUGUCAUACCAAAAUGAGUGAGGAGUGGCUCCAUAAACGUUCACACCGAGUAUUUGAGUGUCCUCAGUUCUGAGCCUCUUCUUUCCUCCGACUCGUCACUGGCGCAUUAAAAGUUCAAAUGGCUGUCUGAAAAAAAAAAAUCACAUUAAAAGCCACCAGAAAGGGUACAACGAUGGGGCCGGUUCACGGAUUACUUUAUAUCCUUGUAAUCUCAUCCUACUUCAUCGUCGGUCGUGGCCAAAAAAUUGUGUGCACACAGGAAGCCAAGGCAGAUUAGUGUUUUUAGUGGAUGGCUCGGCCAGCAUCGGUCUAAAGAACUUCCA